UGUAUACAUGACUGUAGGUGGCUUUGGAUAAAAGCGUCUGCUAAAUGGCGUACA
rfam:Salmo salar isolate Sally breed double haploid chromosome ssa18, whole genome shotgun sequence.